AGAAAACUCAGCCAGACGUCAUAGGACGAAAGGGAGACCACAACCAGACACCAAAUAGGACGUCUACUGGGCAUUCUGGCUGGGAAGUCAACCAGACAUUAAUGAAUGACUGGGAAUAGGGUAUACAAUCAGACGUCAUCGGACGAAUGAGAAAAACACAACGUUUAUCGAAACCAACGGGGAGGUAAAUCCACUUGGGGAAGGGUACAACUAGAUGUCAUAGGACGAAUAGGAAAA
rnacentral:lncRNA from 1 species